UGGGGAAUUUUGGACGAUGGGGGAAACCCUGAUCCAGCCAUCCCGCGUGUGCGAUGAAGGCCUUCGGGUUGUAAAGCACUUUUGGCAGGAAAGAAACGUCAUGGGUUAAUACCCCGUGAAACUGACGGUACCUGCAGAAUAAGCACCGGCUAACUACGUGCCAGCAGCCGCGGUAAUACGUAGGGUGCAAGCGUUAAUCGGAAUUACUGGGCGUAAAGCGUGCGCAGGCGGUUCGGAAAGAAAGAUGUGAAAUCCCAGAGCUCAACUUUGGAACUGCAUUUUUAACUACCGGGCUAGAGUGUGUCAGAGGGAGGUGGAAUUCCGCGUGUAGCAGUGAAAUGCGUAGAUAUGCGGAGGAACACCGAUGGCGAAGGCAGCCUCCUGGGAUAACACUGACGCUCAUGCACGAAAGCGUGGGGAGCAAACAGG
rnacentral:rRNA from 1 species